rnacentral:rRNA from 1 species
UGCCUACGGGAGGCAGCAGUGAGGAAUAUUGGUCAAUGGGCGGAAGCCUGAACCAGCCAAGUCGCGUGAGGGAAUAAGGCCCUGCGGGUCGUAAACCUCUUUUGCCGGGGAGCAAGGCGAACCACGUGUGGUUCAUUGAGAGUACCCGAAGAAAAAGCAUCGGCUAACUCCGUGCCAGCAGCCGCGGUAAUACGGAGGAUGCGAGCGUUAUCCGGAUUUAUUGGGUUUAAAGGGUGCGCAGGCGGAGGUGCAAGUCAGCGGUCAAAUUGCGGGGCUCAACCCCGUACUGCCGUUGAAACUGCAUC